CCCCGCUCUGUCUAGGUCGCUAUGAUUCUCGAAAGUCGUCGACAAGAAGUUGAGUUUGGAGCGGGUACGCUACCUCGCUGCAAGAGGUCGCUCUGGUACAGAGCGGGUGUCAUACCUCGCUCCAGUGGGUCGCUCUACACUUCACUCGUCCAGAGUGGGUGCAUCACCUCGCUCCAGCUCCUCUACUCGCCCAAUGAUCAUUUUCUACUUCU
rnacentral:lncRNA from 1 species